UACGAGGGGGGCGAGCGUUGUUCGGAAUUAUUGGGCGUAAAGGGUGCGUAGGCGGUUUGGUAAGUCUUAUGUGAAAUCUAUGGGCUCAACUCAUAGACUGCAUGAGAAACUGCCGGGCUUGAGUAUGGGAGAGGUGAGUGGAAUUCCUGGUGUAGCGGUGAAAUGCGUAGAUAUCAGGAGGAACACCAGUGGCGAAGGCGGCUCACUGGCCCGGUACUGACGCUGAGGUGCGAAAGCGUGGGGAGCAAACAGG
rnacentral:rRNA from 1 species